rnacentral:rRNA from 1 species
AACCUGGUUGAUCCUGCCAGUAGUCAUAUGCUUGUCUCAAAGACUAAGCCAUGCAUGUCUAAGUAUAAAUGCUAUACAAUGAAACUGCGAAUGGCUCAUUAAAACAGUUAUAGUUUAUAUGGUAAUCGAAUUUACAUGGAUAACCGUGGUAAUUCUAGAGCUAAUACAUGCUGUUAAGCCCAACUUAUGGAAGGGCCGUAUUUAUUAGAUAACAGACCAAUAUUCUUCGUGUCUAUUGUGGUGAAUCAUAGUAACUAAUCGGAUCGUAUGGGCUAGUCCCUCGACAAACCAUUCAAGUUUCUGCCCCAUCAGCUUUCGAUGGUAGUGUAUUGGACUACCGUGGCUUUUACGGGUAACGGAGGAUUAGGGUUCGAUUCCGGAGAGGGAGCCUGAGAAACGGCUACCACAUCUAAGGAAGGCAGCAGGCGCGUAAAUUACCCAAUUCUGAUUCAGAGAGGUAGUGACAAGAAAUAACGGGUCGGGACUUUGUCCCGGGACUGCAAUGAGAUGAACUUAUACCCCUUAUCGAGUAACAAUUGGAGGGCAAGUCUGGUGCCAGCAGCCGCAGUAAUUCCAGCUCCAAUAGCGUAUAUUAAAGUUGUUGCAGUUAAAAGCUCGUA